rnacentral:rRNA from 1 species
ACUGUGCAAACACGAAAGUGGACGUAUACGGUGUGACGCCUGCCCGGUGCUGGAAGGUUAAUUGAUGGGGUCAGCCGCAAGGCGAAGCUCUUGAUCGAAGCCCCAGUAAACGGCGGCCGUAACUAUAACGGUCCUAAGGUAGCGAAAUUCCUUGUCGGGUAAGUUCCGACCUGCACGAAUGGCGUAAUGAUGGCCAGGCUGUCUCCACCCGAGACUCAGUGAAAUUGAACUCGCUGUGAAGAUGCAGUGUACCCGCGGCAAGACGGAAAGACCCCGUGAACCUUUACUAUAGCUUGACACUGAAUAUUGAGCCUUGAUGUGUAGGAUAGGUGGGAGGCAUCGAAGCGUGGACGCCAGUCUGCGUGGAGCCAACCUUGAAAUACCACCCUUUAAUGUUUGAUGUUCUAACUCGGCCCCAUAAUCUGGGGUGAGGACAGUGUCUGGUGGGUAGUUUGACUGGGGCGGUCUCCUCCCAAAGAGUAACGGAGGAGCACGAAGGUUAGCUAAUCACGGUCGGACAUCGUGAGGUUAGUGCAAAGGCAUAAGCUAGCUUGACUGCGAGAGUGACGGCUCGAGCAGGUACGAAAGUAGGUCUUAGUGAUCCGGUGGUUCUGAAUGGAAGGGCCAUCGCUCAACGGAUAAAAGGUACUCCGGGGAUAACAGGCUGAUACCGCCCAAGAGUUCAUAUCGACGGCGGUGUUUGGCACCUCGAUGUCGGCUCAUCACAUCCUGGGGCUGAAGUAGGUCCCAAGGGUAUGGCUGUUCGCCAUUUAAAGUGGUACGCGAGCUGGGUUUAGAACGUCGUGAGACAGUUCGGUCCCUAUCUGCCGUGGGCGUUGGAAGAUUGAGAGGGGCUGCUCCUAGUACGAGAGGACCGGAGUGGACGCAUCACUGGUGUUCGGGUUGUCAUGCCAAUGGCAUUGCCCGGUAGCUAAAUGCGGAAAAGAUAAGCGCUGAAAGCAUCUAAGCGCGAAACUUGCCUCGAGAUGAGUCUUCCCUGGGGCUUUAAGCCCCCUGAAGGAACGUUAAAGACUAUGACGUUGAUAGGCUGGGUGUGUAAGUGCAGCGAUGCAUUGAGCUAACCAGUACUAAUGAUCCGUGAGGCUUAACCUUACAACACCGAAGGUGUUU